GUUGAAAUAUGGGAAAAAAAGAAAAAAAAAUCUAACAAAAAACGAAUAUCCAUGGCAAAAACUGUCAUUUAGGAGGCUAUCAGCAGCAGUAGAAACCGGCUGGAAUAAUUUGGAAGAACAUGGCAGAUCUUGAGGCCUUUCAUUGGUUCAGGAAACCAUCGACUGCUGCUGACUUCCGUUAUACACCCAGUGCCAUCCUUGGAAGCCGAUGGAGAUGAUCCGGGUUCGGUAAACAUGCCAUUAUCAACAGCAACACCGUUUGGGAGGAUUUGGAAGAGGUACCGCUGCAACUGUUGCCUGAAGCUGGGAAAAAAGAUAACUCGAUUCUGCAGAUCGAUAUUGAUCCCGGUGUGACGGAAACUUUCUCAGCAGGAAAAAAAAUGGAAGCAGAAUUUCAGGUUUGUCAUUGCCGCCAAAAACCUCAUCGGCAGAAAAAAAAAAGGCGGAAGCAUAUCGUUGUUGGCCGAACCAGUUCCUGCUUCCGGCUAAAGGAGAUGUACUGGACAACAC